UACGGGGGGAGCAAGCGUUGUUCGGAUUUACUGGGCGUAAAGGGCGCGUAGGCGGCGCAACAAGUCACUUGUGAAAUCUCCGGGCUUAACCCGGAGCGGUCAAGUGAUACUGUCGUGCUAGAGUGCGGAAGGGGCUACUGGAAUUCUCGGUGUAGCGGUGAAAUGCGUAGAUAUCGAGAGGAACACCUGCGGCGAAGGCGGGUAGCUGGGCCGACACUGACGCUGAGGCGCGAAAGCGUGGGGAGCAAACAGG
rnacentral:rRNA from 1 species